GUAAGAACUUCUCACCCUAUUUUCUAUCACGGUAUUAAAGCACAAUAAAUAAUAAAACGGCAUUUCAUGAAUUAAUACAUAUGUAUAAUUAAUUAAGGUUAUUAAUGGAGCCCGAAUAUUAUGUACUUUCGGUCAGUUGUUGUUUGAUCUGUUUUUCAGUUUUAAAUGUAUCUGAUAUGUUUAUUUUAUGGUUACAUAUGCAU
rnacentral:lncRNA from 1 species